rnacentral:rRNA from 1 species
GCUGGCGGCAGGCCUAACACAUGCAAGUCGAGCGGUAACAGAAAGAAAGCUUGCUUUCUUUGCUGACGAGCGGCGGACGGGUGAGUAAUGCCUGGGAAUAUGCCUUAGUGUGGGGGAUAACUAUUGGAAACGAUAGCUAAUACCGCAUAACGUCUUCGGACCAAAGAGGGGGACCUUCGGGCCUCUCGCGCUAAGAUUAGCCCAGGUGGGAUUAGCUAGUUGGUGAGGUAAAGGCUCACCAAGGCAACGAUCCCUAGCUGGUCUGAGAGGAUGAUCAGCCACACUGGAACUGAGACACGGUCCAGACUCCUACGGGAGGCAGCAGUGGGGAAUAUUGCACAAUGGGGGAACCCUGAUGCAGCCAUGCCGCGUGUAUGAAGAAGGCCUUCGGGUUGUAAAGUACUUUCAGUCGUGAGGAAGGCAUUGUAGUUAAUAGCUGCAGUGCUUGACGUUAGCGACAGAAGAAGCACCGGCUAACUCCGUG